rnacentral:rRNA from 1 species
AGGCAUGCUGGAGGUAUCAGAAGUGCGAAUGCUGACAUAAGUAACGAUAAAGCGGGUGAAAAGCCCGCUCGCCGGAAGACCAAGGGUUCCUGUCCAACGUUAAUCGGGGCAGGGUGAGUCGACCCCUAAGGCGAGGCCGAAAGGCGUAGUCGAUGGGAAACAGGUUAAUAUUCCUGUACUUGGUGUUACUGCGAAGGGGGGACGGAGAAGGCUAUGUUGGCCGGGCGACGGUUGUCCCGGUUUAAGCGUGUAGGCUGGUUUUCCAGGCAAAUCCGGAAAAUCAAGGCUGAGGCGUGAUGACGAGGCACUACGGUGCUGAAGCAACAAAUGCCCUGCUUCCAGGAAAAG